rnacentral:lncRNA from 1 species
CCGACAGAGAAGAAGUCAUCAGAUAUUUUUCAGUUCUGGUAUCAAGAUGAAGAUUAUUAACAUUACCCUAUUUGUCCUGGUAUCAUUGUGUUCUCUACUCAUGCAUACACAAUUAGUAACCACGUAGCUGUGGAGUACCAUAUUGUCGCUGGAAGCUAUACUUGGGAUGAAGCAAUAGCUGAAUGUGCUAGUCUUGGAGGAACCUUGGCACGAAUUCCCGACAAACGCACAGAUGAUUUUAUCACACAAUACAUAAGAGACAGUGGCUUAGGUGAUCAGGUUGAUACUGGAUUUUGGAUUGGCCUGAACGAUAGAAAUGAAGAAGACAACUUUAAAUGGAUUAAUGGUGGAGAGGUGUGUUACACAAACUGGGGUGAAGGGGAACCAGAUAACAACACUAAUAAAAACCCGCAGGGUCAGGACUGUGGUCAACUGAGAAAAACAACAGACUUUAAAUGGGAUGAUGAAUAUUGCACUGGUGUUGAUAUCAGAGAGAAGGGUUUCAUUUGUGAAGUACAAGCUUGCAGCUGUUCUAAAUGCCCAGAACCAUGAAUACAAUCGACGCAUUGUUGUAGUUCGGUGGCCAUGGGGCUACAUAUUUUUUGUAGAUCUAAUUUCUGUAUUUGCAUGCUAAACUAAUACAAUAAAGCUGAUAUGGACGUA